rnacentral:rRNA from 1 species
AGUGAACGCUGGCGGUAGGCCUAGCACAUGCAGGUCGAACGGCAGCACAGUAAGAGCUUGCUCUUACGGGUGGCGAGUGGCGGACGGGUGAGGAAUACAUCGGAAUCUACUUUUUCGUGGGGGAUAACGUAGGGAAACUUACGCUAAUACCGCAUACGACCUACGGGUGAAAGCAGGGGAUCUUCGGACCUUGCGCGAUUGAAUGAGCCGAUGUCGGAUUAGCUAGUUGGCGGGGUAAAGGCCCACCAAGGCGACGAUCCGUAGCUGGUCUGAGAGGAUGAUCAGCCACACUGGAACUGAGACACGGUCCAGACACCGACGGGAGGCAGCAGUGGGUAAUAUUGGACAAUGGGCGCAAGCCUGAUCCAGCCAUGACGCGUGGGUGAAGAAGGCCUGCGGGUUGUAAAGCCCUUUUGUUGGGAAAGAAAAGCAGCAGGUUAAUACCCCGCUGUUCUGACGGUACCCAAAGAAUAAGCACCGGCUAACUUCGU